GAUGAACGCUGGCGGCGUGCUUAAUACAUGCAAGUCGAGCGGACGGACGAGAAGUUUGCUUUUUUGUUGUGUGCGGCGGAGGUGUGAGUAACACGUGUAUAACCUACCUAUAAUACGGAGAUAACUUCGGGAAUCCGGCUCUUAUAGCGUAUGAUAUUUUGAACCGCAUGGUUCAAAAGUGAAAUACGGUCGUGGGGUCAGUUCUCGAUGGAUCCGCGCUUCAUUAGCGAGUUGGUAAGGUAACGGCUUACCAAGGCAACGAUGCAUAGCCGACCUGAGAGGGUGAUCGGCCACACGGGAGCUGAGACACGGACCAGACUCCUGCGAGAGGCAGCAGUAGGGAAUGUUCCGCAAUGGGGGAAAACCUGACGGAGCAAGGCCGCGUGAGUGAUGGAGGUCUCCGGAUCGUAAAACUCUGUUAGUAGGGAAGAACAUAUGUGUAAGUAACUGUGCACAUCUUGACGGUACCUAAUCAGAAAGCCACGGCUAACUACGUG
rnacentral:rRNA from 1 species